AGGAAACUUGGUUGCAGUCUGCUGUGAAAAUACACCAGAGUCUGCAUCAGUGCUUUACUGAAGCAGUUAGGAAAUCCUGAAUAUUUUAACUGCUUUGUCAAUAAGACAUUGUGACAGACAACAGAAAAAGUCCUCCUUUUUCUUUUUAAAGUUAAGAGGGCAGAAACAUGCAUUACUCUGUCAUACUGCUUAAAGCCCGAGAGGUGACGCAGAAUGAAACUUUUAUCAACAUUUAACUUGAGCAAUUAUUGUAAAUGUUCAGCAGCAACGAUAUUUUGAGGAUGGACAAGGCUAGGUCAUCAGCUUUUCUGACAUCACUGUUUGUUUAGGUUUGCUAAAACAGUUUCUCAACAUUUCACCAAAGGAAGUGUUUCAAAGCUACUGGGCAAGCUUGUUGACCACAGAACUGUGAAAACAUACUAGUUGACUCAACUAGACAACUCAGAUCUGUCCAGUUUAACUUGUAUGCUAUACUCAUAUCUUAGUAAUGCAGUGAAGGUAAUUUUAGAGGUCCUCCUCAUAUUUGAAAGUCAAAUGUAUAAGAAAAAAAUAAUAAGCGAUAAUUCACAGUUUUUGUGGAAUAUUCAAGAAAUUGCUGAAGAUGGAGACUACAGAGAUGUCUGCUGCCAGAAGAUCUUUCAUUGUGAUGAUUAACAUGAUUGCAUGGAUGGUUUUGAUUCCAGCCACUGGAUUAGGAACGAUCCAUUUUCAUGAGUGUCCUGUUCAACCAUACCUCCCCAUCUAUCUGACUGUGAUUGGGGCAAGUGGUCUGCUUUCACUGCUGCUGUUGUACAUAAGGAAUACUUUGGAUGACUGUCUGCUUGCUCGGUUCUGCUGUGUCUUUAGUCUGAUGCUCUACGUAUUCAUUGUCUGCUGGUUCUUUGCUGGUACCUACUGGAUUUACUCCAUAUAUCCUCCCAACUAUGACCCUAACAGCACUGGAGACCACUGUCAUAGGACCAUGUACCUGUUUGCAUUUUGGUUUAACAAUAUAUGUUUUCUGUGCCUGUCCAUAAUGUUUGCAUUUUGUUUGUAUACCAUCUACAACUGUGCUGUUGAGCUUGAGUCAUAGAAUUUAGUUGCAGACCUGUAGAUUCUUUCCUGUAAUGCUCUAAAAAGAUGCUGUCUUAUUCCUAUUGAUAUAUGAUUUUAUCAUAUAAAUUUGUCACAAGAGAUUUUGUCAUAGUUUUUCAAUAGUUGUUCAAUCAUUAAACUUCUGGAUGUUUUAUUAAAAUAAUGCAUUUAAAUGUGCAAAAAAAUUAAUUGCACUAGCAGAGAAAAGUUUAGACACACAACUAAAUUUAUGUUUAUCGUGAUCUUAACCUUUUCAUCUAGUAACGUUUUUAUUUGUAUUGCACUUUACAAAACACACAUCAUUUCAAAGCAGCAUUACAGAAAAUUAUGCUGUAACAGAAAAUGAAGCUGUAAUGUCUUUAAGGAACAGUUCGCCCAAAAAUGAAAAUUCUCUCAUCAUUUACUCACCCUCAUGCCAUCAUAGAUGUGUAUGACUUUCUUUCUUCUGCAGAACACAAAUGAACAUUUUUAGAAGAAGAUAUCAGCUCUGUACAAUACAAGUGAAUGGGUACAACAAUUUUGACACUCCAAAAAUCAAAUAAAGACAACAUAAAAGUAAUCCAUAUGGCUUCAGUGGUUAAAUACAUACCUUCUGAAGUGAUAUGAUAGGUGUGGGUGAGAAACAGACCAAUAUUUAAGUCAAUAUUUCUUCUCUCUACCCAGUAGGGGGCAUAUGCGUGAAGAAUGUGAAUCACCAAAAACAGAAAAAGAAGAAUGUGAAAGUUAAAGUGCACACUGACUGAGCAGGGAGGAGAAUUUAUAGUUAAAAUGGACUUAAAAAUUGAUCUGUUUCUAACCCACACCUAUCAGAUCACUUCUGGAGACAUUGAAAUUGGAGUGUUAUGGAUUACUUUUAUGCUGAUUUAUGUGAUUUCUGGAGCAUCAAAAGUUUUGGCGCCCAUUCACUUGCAAUGUAUGGACCAAAAGAGCUGAGAAAUUCUUCUAAAGAUCUUCAUUUGUGUUCUGCAGAAGAAAGAUGGUCAUACACAUCUGGGAUGGCAUAAGGGUGAGUAAAUAAUGAGAGAAGUUUGGGUGAACUAUUCCUUUAAAGUCUUCAGUGUGCAGAUGCACAUGAUUGUAGAUUACACCUUAAAAAAAUAUUAAGGCCUAUAUAUACACUGGGGGUGGGAGGGAGUUGACUAAAAAGCAUGAAUGUAAUGCCAAUAUUAGUUAUGUGUAAUACAAGUCACGGUUUAAAUGAGUAAACUGAGCAGAUGUUGGUGGCCAAUAUUUAAACUAAAGGAUUUUGAAUGAAUUGUAAGAUAAAUGACAAAGUCUUUGAAGUCCAUCCCAAAUUGACAGGGGAAAUGCACAUACAUGCGGUGUCCUUUGUUAUUUGUCUGAUGAAGACUUUAGUUGGUAAUUAAUUUAUUGUCUAUGGAUUCCAUUUUAAGAGAAUGUGCAGUCUAAGAUGAUGCAGGCAGUGGUCAGUGAGGGGCAUCGCAUUCUGGCUGGAAGCUUUUGUGGCAGUUCAUUUCCGGUGAAGUCCAUCCUAAGUCCAAGGUACAGGCAGUGGUCAGUCAAGUAUCACAUGUCUUAUAGUUGGAGUUGGCAGCAGUUUAUCCUCUGUGAAGUCCAUCGUAGUAGACUGAAGUGAUGUCUGGCUGGCAUAGCCUGCAGUUAGUUGUCAUCACUCACCGACACGUAGCAGUAGGAGUAGAAUCUAAAGGCUUAUGCUUAAAAUGCUUGAAUCUUUUGUAGACAAGUAUAACGUAUGUCUUUGUAUGAAUUACUCGAUACAAUGCUUAAAAUGUAUUUAUUUAUUCAUUCAUUCAUUCAUUUUAAAAGAAUACGUUGGUCAGAAUGGUGAUGGAAAAGAAACCAACAAGUUCCCAGCAUAUGUGGGAUAGUUGUGAUUUGUUUGAAAAAAAAUGGUCACUCUAUAAUCAAUUACAUAACAUACCUGUACUUCAUAGUUGGAUGACUUCACUGUUAUUCUAAAAUGUGGGAAAUUCAUAAAGAAUUCUAUAGCUCACAAGCUAUAUAUACGGGCCUAAUGACUGUAACGUUAAACACCCUAUCUAAUCUUGCUUUGCUUUUGAGCAUCUUUAUAUAAUUUUUUUUAGAUCGUUUACUCAGCCCUCGCUCCACCCACAAACAUGCGUGAGGUCAGUUGUCCUGUUGCAGCACCUGUCCCAGAAUGCAAUCUGCAUCCCUCAUACUGUACUUGAUGCAUAACAAUAACAUUAUAGUUAUGUGGUAAGGUGUAUUUAAAUUAGUUACAUUAGAUAAAAUUGAGUAGACAAUGGGUUUGUAUGUGUCCGUGAUAUCCUUACUGUCUUUUGAUGCCCUUUUGUCUUUUCCCCAUUAUUUUGUUCUUUUUGAUAACUUCAUAUAUAACUUCACUGGUCAAGUUGCCUAACUGGUGGCAAAAUGCUUGCAGGCACUUGAGAUGGCUUACUGUCCAUAAAGCGGGUUUCCAGUCGGUGCCGCUAUUAUGACGACAGGGGGCGAUAUUAUCACUGGUAGGCUGAUGCACCUGUUAAUUUUUUGUUUGGUUGAAGCGAUAUGAUUACACAGCAUUUCUCAUGAAGGCAGUUCUUGCAUGUCUUAACAACGAAAUAAGACAUGCUAGUAUUGUAGUACAGUUUUCGUUUAGCAUGCAAGGGGAUCCAGGUGAAAAUUCUUAUGUAAUAUACAAGCUGUUUGUAAUAUAACAAGCAACUGAACUUGACAGCUGGUGAUCAGCUUGCAUCACUGUUUAAAUGGACAUUAUGCUUCUGACUUUGACCACCCCCCUCCCUCAUAUGGCUUAGGCUGUAAUGUUGAGAAUGCCUCCUAUGGCCUCACUGUAUGUGCAGAGAGAACUGUGAUACAGAGAGCAGUGGCAGAAGGCUACAGAUGAUUUACAGCCAUAGCCAUCACAUGGUAUGUUGUAUAUUCCAAAAUUGUUACUAACUAACUCAGUGAUAUAUUUUGAUGUUUUGUUUUUAAUAUAUCAAAGGGUUGUUGCAACAAAUGUAGAACAGGAUUCAUUACUUCUACACUGAAAUUUCAAGAGACACAGCUGGAUGUCAAACACACAUUGAGCUACACAUAACACAUAAGCUACACAUAUGUAUUUUCUCAGGAACUUUUGGAUUAUAAAUAGAUGCAAAACUGACAAUUUCAAUAGUAAACCCUAAUGACAAUAGCCAAAUCAAACUGUUUAUGUGUUACACUUGCUAUAGUUUACUUCCAUGUUGCUUCUUCGUCAAAUAGCAAUGUCAAAUGUAAGCCAAGUCAAUCGCUGAAACAACAGCGCCACCUUGAGUAACAAAUAGCCUGUAUAAUAUCUGUGUACACGCAUACAGUAUGUUAAACUGAUAAUUCACCAUUGUUGUGCAGAAAAUCAACCUGAUAUAGUAUUCAUUUGUAUGAAUAUAGUAGUCAUAUAUCUUGUAAUAAACAAAGAAAUAUAUAUCAUGUGAUAGUAAAAUAAUAUAGAAAUGAAAUAAUCAUAAAAAUCUGAUUUAUGGAAGCACAGAAAAGUUACAUUAUUACAUAUAGGGUCUUUAAGACCCUAUACAUUUUAGGAAUUAAGCAGUUUUAUAUAUAUAUAUAUAUAUAUAUAUUAUUUGCAAUUUUGCACAAUUCAGAAGAGAACGGUUGAGGAAUACUAAAGAGGUGUGGACAUAACUAAGUGGGUGAGGUACAGGGUGUGGAAUGAGGUUCCAUGACACUAAAGACCUGAGGUAUGCAUUAAAGGGUUAAAAAGGAUCCAAAUGUAGGAACUUUUUGUCAGUAGGCCUACACACUUUCUGUUAAUGAACACAUUGCAAAUUGCAAAUGUUGUCAGCCAUUGACUGUCUCCUACGAGACACAAAGUUUUCUUCCUGCAGGGGGUGCUUGACAGCUCAGAAAAUCAAAUCCUCCAUCUGCAUUUAAAUCUCAGAAUGUUUUAUGUCUCAUUGGAGAUAUUUUUACUCUGGAUAGAUAUUUUUUAUAAAAACUGGUAAUUGCAAGGAUGUAUACCUGCUCAUAGAAAUCCACCUCUGCAGUAUUUAUAAAAGCAAAAUCUUCAUCCAUAAAUAAUAAACAACUGUGAUUGGUCCAUCCUGGUCUGCACUGAGAAAAGUAACAGAGACCACAGGAAAGUUUCAGUAGCAGUCCAGACCUCUGGACAAUAAUUUACACCUGAUUAAUGAUACUGAAAAACUUUAAUAACCUAUUUAAUAAAUGCCAUCAUGUGGAGCCUGCCUGGACAUGGUUAAUCUGGCCCAGUGCAGAAGCAAUGUUACAAUGUAAUAGUUCCCCUAAAAGUUUUAAUUUCUGCCAUCAUUUACUCACCCUCAUUGUUCAAAACCACUAUUACUUUUUUCAACCGUGAAACACAAGAUUGAGGGAUGAAGUGCUAAGGGAAAGUUUAAACAAGGCUUGAGAAUAGGCAGAAAAAAAAAAAAAAAAAGAAAUUGUGCAUGUUGGUUCUUGCAUGUAUUGUCACCAUUUUUGUUGAAUGUGUGAAAGAGGAUGAGAUUUGAGAACGUGGCGAUCUUCCAUGUGGGAAGUCUUCAGAACCACUGAGCUAACUUAAAUUUUGUUUUUUGCAGCUUUCAAGAAAACAUUUGCUUUAUGUUAAAUAAUUCUUUCAUUUUCAUUUGACUAACAGUGAUAUCAAAGAUAGUUUUGUGGGACUCUGUGAUGCUUGCCGACAAGUUUUAAUGGAGGUAAUUACUUGUUCAUCACAUUUUACCACAUCUUUCUGUCACUACAUUUGUACUUCAUUGCCUUUUGGUCCGUUCAAGUCAUGUCGGAAUGAUUGUAAUCAGAGUAACAGUUUUUUUUUUUUUAUACAGUCUUAUUUUGUGUAUACUGUAUAUUAUGUGAAUAUUGUGUUGUGUAAGUCAGAUGUUUAUUUUAAUUGUCAUACUGCUAUGUUGCUUGGAACCACACCCAAGACUUUCACCCACUGUUGCACUUGUGUAUAUGGUUGAGUGACAAUAAUGGGAUUUUAUUUGAGUUAGGAGCAUGUUUCACUUUUGACUGCAUUUAAUACUGUAUGCCUGUUUUCUUCUGUCAGUGAAGAACAAUGAUAAAGCUUGCCAGAAAAUAAAACUCAUCUAUCUGGUUUGUGAAGCAACAGCCUUGUGCAACAAAAAUAUAUUAAUGUGGCCACAUGAGAAUAAAAUAGAUAAAGCAUUAAUUACACAGCUAAUGCAUGGUGCCACUUCAUUUUGUUGCAUUUAUGCUUAAAAGCUUCCUAUCUUUGACAGUCUGUGUGAAAGUGAGAAAUAUGAAAUUGCAAAACAGAUACAUUCUUUGACUAAAAUCACUCAAACACACGUCACAUUGUAUUUAUGUUCUCCAACCUCCUAAGUAUGAGCUUCCCAGGAGGAAUUGAAUGCACCAUUUCUCUCAUUUUUUCCUUUCCUACCUUCUGAAUUUCUCUCUCCAAUUUCAUGUUGUGUUAGUUUGGUACGUUUAACUGACUAAGCCAGAUGGAACCUCUAAGACCACCAGUCUCAGAGAUCUCUUGCCUUUAGCAAUUACAUCAGCUCAUCUGCAAAAGAACUGAGUGCUCUGUCCAAAAUGUUAUUUGACUAUUCUGAAUAUAUACACAUUUUCUUUUCUUCUAAAUUUAGGAUUGCUGUUACAUGUGAACAAUUAAAAUGUGAUUGGGCAUUUUGCUGUACUUGAGGAAUCUGAAGUGAUUAAUUCAAUUUUAUGUUAAGGAAUCAUAUGGUGGAAUUCUAAUGUUGGACACACAAAUGGCUUUCUUUUUGUCAUAUGUGGAUGUAGACGGUAAACUUGAUGUACUGCUUCAUUUACCAAGAAACAGCACCAUUCAAAAUGACUGUUUACAAUAAAUUACUUAACAGCAAUCAGCUACAGUAAUUAGAUUAGAACUGCAAAGCAGACAGUACCAGGUGUUUUUCAGAGCUAAACAACCAAUAGGCUACAUUGCUCCUUUUAAGUGAUCAACACUGAUCUGUAUGUUCAGGCAGUGUACUGCCGUUAUUUUCUGGCAUACAUUUGUCGUCAUAGCUUGACUUUCAGUUGGACUGGACAGAACAGACAGAAUCUGAUUUAAUGUUUAGGAUAUGUGAUCAGAUUUACAGAAUCUGAUUUGGGCUGUUAGUGUGAACAAGAUUAAAGAGUCUCCUUCUUGCUAAGGCUAUGCUGUGUUGUUGAAGGGCCACGCCGGUCACAAAGUUGUCACAAUCCCCACUAGAGAGCACUGUGCACUCAAACGCUCAACUAACUACCUUAUUUAUACAUGUACAGUAAAUAAGUGUUUGUAUGUGCUAUAAUAUGUACUGUUAAAAAAAUAAAAUGCUGCCCAGA